rnacentral:rRNA from 1 species
AGCGAACGUUAGCGGCGGGCCUAACACAUGCAAGUCGAACGCGAAAGGUCUUCGGACUGAGUAGAGUGGCGCACGGGUGAGUAACACGUAGGUAAUCUACCCUUUGGCGGGGGAUAACGUUCCGAAAGGAGCGCUAAUACCGCAUAAGACCACGGAGUCUCCGGACGCUGUGGGAAAAGGUGGCCUCUUCUUGAAAGCUACCACCGAAGGAUGAGCCUGCGUCCCAUCAGCUAGUUGGUGAGGUAAGAGCUCACCAAGGCUAAGACGGGUAGCUGGUCUGAGAGGAUGAUCAGCCACACUGGAACUGAGACACGGUCCAGACUCCUACGGGAGGCAGCAGUGGGGAAUAUUGCGCAAUGGGCGAAAGCCUGACGCAGCCACGCCGCGUGAGCGAUGAAGGCCUUGGUCGUAAGCUCUGUGGGAGAGACGAAG